rnacentral:rRNA from 1 species
GACGAACCGUGCAAACGUUGUUCGGAAUUACUGGGCGUAAAGCGUGCGCAGGCGGUUUUGUAAGCCAGAUGUGAAAUCCCCGGGCUUAACCUGGGAAUGGCAUUUGGGACUGCAAGGCUUGAGUGCGGCAGAGGAGACUGGAAUUCCUGGUGUAGCAGUGAAAUGCGUAGAUAUCAGGAGGAACACCGAUGGCGAAGGCAGGUCUCUGGGCUGACACUGACGCUCAUGCACGAAAGCGUGGGGAGCAAACAGG